GACCAGCUUGGCCCCGGUCUCGGGUACCGGGCAGUCGGGGAAUAUGGGCUUGAUGAGGCGACACCGAUAGGAAAUGACAGAGAGGGGUGUGUGUGCAUGCCACAAAGGUUGGCGGCUGGAAUCAAACCGGUGACGGUUGCGACCACGUGGCCAUGUGGUAUGGGGCUGUAACCAUUCAGCUAUGGAGGGCCCCAAGUAAAGCCAUGUUGUCUGUGCUGGUGUGGAAGAAAUUAGGCCGGUGGCUCAGGUGAGGCCCAUCAUAUCA